UACGGAGGGGGCUAGCGUUGUUCGGAAUUACUGGGCGUAAAGCGCACGUAGGCGGCUUUGUAAGUUAGAGGUGAAAGCCCGGAGCUCAACUCCGGAAUUGCCUUUAAGACUGCAUCGCUCGAAUCAUGGAGAGGUGAGUGGAAUUCCGAGUGUAGAGGUGAAAUUCGUAGAUAUUCGGAAGAACACCGGUGGCGAAGGCGGCUAUCUGGCCCGUAAUUGACGCUGAGGCGCGAAAGCGUGGGGAGCAAACAGG
rnacentral:rRNA from 1 species